ACUCUAACACAAGCACUGAUUUUGUGUCUAAAGGUAGUAAGUGCUAUUUGUUGGGGUAG
rnacentral:pre_miRNA from 1 species